rnacentral:misc_RNA from 1 species
AAGUCGUAACAAGGUUUCCGUAGGUGAACCUGCGGAAGGAUCAUUAACACGUAUCCAAACGUUAAACCCCCCUGUGAACCUUCAGUGUACUCGUACGUCCGUUAGAAAAAGCAGCAAUCCCUGGUAAAUCAUCGCCGAACAGUUUUCGAUUCAGGGACGUCUGCAAGGAGCGUGCAUGUUGUGCGAAGCAAGUGGCCUGGCAUCCCCAAGCAGUUAGUGUCUGAAAGUGUCAUUAACUGUGUAAGGAUGACGCAGUCACGAUCGUUGGAGGCCCACACGGCCGACGACCGGGUCACUGGGCGCAAGCCCCCCUAUAACAAACGCUGCUAAUCGCGGCCGCGAUAAUACGCAGUCGACCAAAAACCGAACAACUGUUAACAAUGGAUAUCUUGGUUCUC